rnacentral:rRNA from 1 species
ACGCUGGCGGCAUGCCUAACACAUGCAAGUCGAACGAAGGCUUCGGCCUUAGUGGCGCACGGGUGCGUAACGCGUGGGAAUCUGCCCCUUGGUUCGGAAUAACAGUUGGAAACGACUGCUAAUACCGGAUGAUGACGUAAGUCCAAAGAUUUAUCGCCGAGGGAUGAGCCCGCGUAGGAUUAGGUAGUUGGUGUGGUAAAGGCGCACCAAGCCGACGAUCCUUAGCUGGUCUGAGAGGAUGAUCAGCCACACUGGGACUGAGACACGGCCCAGACUCCUACGGGAGGCAGCAGUGGGGAAUAUUGGACAAUGGGCGAAAGCCUGAUCCAGCAAUGCCGCGUGAGUGAUGAAGGCCUUAGGGUUGUAAAGCUCUUUUACCCGGGAUGAUAAUGACAGUACCGGGAGAAUAAGCUCCGACUAACUCCGUGCCAGCAGCCGCGGUAAUACGGAGGGAGCUAGCGUUAUUCGGAAUUACUGGGCGUAAAGCGCACGUAGGCGGCUUUGUAAGUAAGAGGUGAAAGCCCAGAGCUCAACUCUGGAAUUGCCUUUUAGACUGCAUCGCUUGAAUCAUGGAGAGGUCAGUGGAACUCCGAGUGUAGAGGUGAAAUUCGUAGAUAUUCGGAAGAACACCAGUCGCGAAGGCGGCUGACUGGACAUGUAUUGACGCUGAGGUGCGAAAGCGUGGGGAGCAAAC